ACGGGAGGCAGCAUUUCUGCCUCUUGUUCCAUGGUCUGAAGACUGAACCAGCCAAGUCGCGUGCAGGAAGACGGUCCUAUGGAUUGUAAACUGCUUUUGUACGGGAAUAAAGUGCGGGACGUGUCCCGUUUGGAAUGUACCGUAAGAAUAAGGGUCGGCUAACUCCGUGCCAGCAGCCGCGGUAAUACGGAGGACCCGAGCGUUAUCCGGAUUUAUUGGGUUUAAAGGGCGCGCAGGCGGAGGAUUAAGUCAGCGGUGAAAUUUUCAUGCUCAACAUGAAAACUGCCAUUGAUACUGGUCCCCUUGAGAGAUGUCGAGGAUGGCGGAAUGUGAUGUGUAGCGGUGAAAUGCUUAGAUAUGUCACAGAACACCGAUUGCGAAGGCAGCUGUCCAGAGAUCAUCUGACGCUCAGGCACGAAAGCAUGGGUAUCAAACAGGAUUAGAUACCCUGGUA
rnacentral:rRNA from 1 species